GAUUACGGCCAUACCACACUGACAACGCCCGAUCUCGUCUGAUCUCGGAAGCUAAGCAGAGUUGGGCUGGGUCAGUACUUGGAUGGGUGACCGCCUGGGAAUACCCGGUGCUGUAAGCA
ensembl:rRNA 5S_rRNA 5S ribosomal RNA